rnacentral:lncRNA from 1 species
CGAAGCUGUGCCUUGGAGUGGCUCUUCUUACACCUUUCCGCCUCAUCCCCACCUAAUUCGGGCAGGGAGUAGAAAUUUUUCCAAAUUAAGGGGAGAAAGGGGGGAGGGGCAUUAUCGAGAGAAAGCAAGAGGAGCGGCCGCAACUGAGAAUAUCCUGCCUGAUGCCAGGGAAUUGACUGACGUGUCUGUGGGGUUACGGAAGAAAACUGAAUAGGCAGCCAAGUUGGCCCAGGAGGGGCUGGGAGGCUUCCGGGUGCCGGGAAGGUGGUCCCGGUCUCCAUUUCCACUGGUACGAAGGCUUGGAGGCGCCUCUAUGGUGAGGGCUUUUGAACCGCCAUCCCCUCCUGAUCCCUUGGAAAGGAGGAGCCUUCAGAGCUGAGGAGGGGGAAGUCCAGGAAAAGCCCCUGGACUUGUGUGCGUCGCAUCCUUGGCUUGGGAUUUUAAGGACACGAAGGAGAAUUAACAGCGCCUCAAGAAUACCCAUGUGAAAAC